rnacentral:lncRNA from 1 species
UCACUCCUCAUAGCUAUCCACCUCUCUCUCUCAUACCCCUCAACCGAACAGCUUCUCUCCUUGAUCGUCUAAGCCUUCUUCUCCGUUCCAUGCGUGCGACCUCCAACCAGGAAGGGAGAAGGCCAGCAGGGGCAAGCUUCAUUGCCGACCUCAGUUUCUCCAUUUCUCUGCCCGUAAAUACUGCAGCUCCACGCCAACGUCUCCCACCGAACGAAACCCCAAGCUGAGUCAAUCUUCACUUGUCGAAACCCACCAGCGAAGACUCCAUCUUUCCCCACCAAAGCACCACCGAAAUUUUAGUCAACUCAGCAAGGAUUCCAGGCGGUUUGUUGACUCCCUCACUCCACCGAAGCCACGAAGCAAGUCCACCGAGUUUUCUCCCCAAGCUGCCGCACCUCCGUCCGCUUCUCCACUUUAGGCCACGAUUCCCUGCAGCUCCACCCACCGAACUAAUUCACUCAGUUCGGUCAACUAGCGAAGCUGGUGUUGACCGUGAAGCCUCCACUCACCGAAACCCCAAGCGACUUCUUCAUCCACGACUCAGCAUCAACGCCAGCGGACGCCCCCUUCUCCACCGAGUUUUGUCGGCCACCGAACCAACCGAGUCAACAAACCGGUGUCUCCUUCACCGAAGUUGACUGCACCUCGUCCGCAACGCCAGCCGCAAGAAGCCAGCGACCAGACUCUGCCGCUCCAGUGCUGUUUGUCUCCUUCAACCGAGGAGCUCCUUCGGUGUCCACCUCCCCCAGCUCUCCACAUUUCGGUGUCUUCCCAGCAGCGACCGAGGCCCCUUCCCUCGUUGACUCUGCUUGUCACGCUACCAGCUUCACUGUCGACGUUGCUUCCCUCGAUUCAGUCCCGGCACGCCACUGCCCGACUCUAGAAUUCCAACGGUUCAGUGGCGUCCCCUCGAGGCCGCAAGCUCAGCCCACACGGACAGCAUUUCGGUCCAUUUGAAGACCGCAUCUCCGGCCCAAGUUCCGCCCACGAGCU